UGGGGAAUAUUGCACAAUGGGGGAAACCCUGAUGCAGCAACGCCGCGUGAGCGAAGAAGUAUUUCGGUAUGUAAAGCUCUAUCAGCAGGGAAGAAAAUGACGGUACCUGAGUAAGAAGCCCCGGCUAACUUCGUGCCAGCAGCCGCGGUAAUACGUAGGGGGCAAGCGUUAUCCGGAUUUACUGGGUGUAAAGGGAGCGUAGACGGCGAGGCAAGUCUGAUGUGAAAGGCCGGGGCUCAACCCCGGGACUGCAUUGGAAACUGUUUUGCUUGAGUGCCGGAGAGGUAAGCGGAAUUCCUAGUGUAGCGGUGAAAUGCGUAGAUAUUAGGAGGAACACCAGUGGCGAAGGCGGCUUACUGGACGGCAACUGACGUUGAGGCUCGAAAGCGUGGGGAGCAAACA
rnacentral:rRNA from 1 species